UACAGAGGCCUCGAGCGUUAGGCGGAAUCACUGGGGCUUAAAGCGUGUGUAGGCGGACUUCUAAGUGCCUUGUGAAAUCCCACGGCUCACCCGUGGAACUGCUGGGCAUACUGGGAGUCUUGAGCCACCUAGGGGCGAGCGGAACAAAUGGUGGAGCGGUGAAAUGCGUAGAUAUCAUUUGGAACGCCAACGGAGAAAUCAGCUCGCUGGGGGUGUGCUGACGCUGAGACACGAAAGCCAGGGGAGCGAACGGG
rnacentral:rRNA from 1 species